CAGUCGCCACGGGAAUACGGAGGGUGCAAGCGUUAAUCGGAAUUACUGGGCGUAAAGCGCACGCAGGCGGUUUGUUAAGUCAGAUGUGAAAUCCCCGGGCUCAACCUGGGAACUGCAUUUGUGACUGGCAAGCUAGAGUGUGGCAGAGGGGGGUGGAAUUCCGCGUGUAGCAGUGAAAUGCGUAGAUAUGCGGAGGAACACCGAUGGCGAAGGCAGCCCCCUGGGCCAACACUGACGCUCAUGCACGAAAGCGUGGGGAGCAAACAGGAUUAGAUACCCGCGUAGUCCCUGUCUCUUAUAC
rnacentral:rRNA from 1 species